ACCCAUCAGAAGUAUUGAAGACGCUCAAGGAUGUGAUUGUUUUUUAGAGAGGAGUUCGCUCGACGGGCUCCUUUUGCGGUCAA
rnacentral:sRNA from 1 species